rnacentral:rRNA from 1 species
CCACACCUAAAAACUAUCCACGUGAACCGUUAAGCAAACAAGUUAAGGCAGGCGCGAUUGGUGGUGCGUCUGGGAAGCGCUUGUCGAUAUUCGAUCGGAUCGGAUAUUGUCGGGCGUCGUCCUGGACACGCUGUCGAGCGGAGUCGGCUAAACGAAGGUCGGGCGUUCGCUAUCGGAGCGAUGUGCGCGUUGUCGUACGUUGCUGCAAUGGCUCGAGCAAGCGGCUGAUUUAUGUCUUUCAAACCAUACCUGACGUACUGAUUAUACUGUGAGGACGAAAGUCCUUGCUUUUACUAGAUAACAACUUUCAGCAGUGGAUGUCUAGGCUCGCACAUCGAUGAAGAACGCUGCGAACUGCGAUACGUAAUGCGAAUUGCAGAAUUCAGUGAGUCAUCGAAAUUUUGAACGCAUAUUGCACUUCCGGGUUAUGCCUGGAAGUAUGUCUGUAUCAGUGUCCGUACAUUAAACUUGCCUCUCUUCGUCGGUGUAGUCCGGCUUGGAGAAGGAGCAGAGGUGAAGUGUCUCGCGCCAUGCUGGUGAUCUAUCUUCGGGUAGAUGACGAGAGUGCACGAGUCCUUUGAAAUGGACUCCGGUUUUUCUAUUGCGUUGCUCAAGGGCGUGUAUUUUGAACGCGGCAAUCUCGUCGAUUGCCUGCAGAUGUUUACGACCUUGGCGAGAACACAUGUGGAAGCAAGCUCCUUUUCGCGGUACGUUAGGCUUCGGCUGGACAAUGUUGUGAGAGGGUGUGUGUCUUUCGUUUUCGCUUGGAGGUGUAUAUUGUACUGUGGGUGGUUCGCGUGUGUUUUGUCGGUAGUAGAGGUAUGCGUUUGUCGGCACGCACUUGCUGUGUGGUUGAUUGCGCUUGCGUAGUGAAUCUUGCAGAUAGAGAGACUGAUUUGGGCAAUUCUGUACUACUUGGCACGCUACCGAGCUCGUGUAUGUGUGUUGGUCGUAUCUCAAUUGGACCUGAUAUCAGACAAGACUACCCGCU